UGGUGGAGCGAUUUGUCUGGUUAAUUCCGAUAACGAACGAGACUCUAGCCUGCUAAAUAGUCUGUAGAUCUCAUUGUCUGCAGUACUUCUUAGAGGGACAAGCGGCUUUUAGCCGCACGAAAAUGAGCAAUAACA
rnacentral:rRNA from 1 species